UUGUAGUGUAGAGGUGAUAGACAGGGAGGUGGUAAACUAAACAUUAAGGGUUGAGUGUGUGAGUCUACAGCCUCUAGUGGGAUUCUACUGUAGUCUGUUAUCAGUCCAUGAUAACUUGUAGUGUAGAGGUGAUAGACAGGGAGGUGGUAAACUAAACAUUAAGGGUUGAGUGUGUGAGUCUACAGCCUCUAGUGGGAUUCUACUGUAGUCUGUUAUCAGUCCAUGAUAACUUGUAGUGUAGAGGUGAUAGACAGGGAGGUGGUAAACUAAACAUUAAGGGUUGAGUGUGUGAGUCUACAGCCUCUAGUGGGAUUCUACUGUAGUCUGUUAUCAGUCCAUGAUAACUUGUAGUGUAGAGGUGAUAGACAGGGAGGUGGUAAACUAAACAUUAAGGGUUGAGUGUGUGAGUCUACAGCCUCUAGUGGGAUUCUACUGUAGUCUGUUAUCAGUCCAUGAUAACUUGUAGUGUAGAGGUGAUAGACAGGGAGGUGGUAAACUAAACAUUAAGGGUUGAGUGUGUGAGUCUACAGCCUCUAGUGGGAUUCUACUGUAGUCUGUUAUCAGUCCAUGAUAACUUGUAGUGUAGAGGUGAUAGACAGGGAGGUGGUAAACUAAACAUUAAGGGUUGAGUGUGUGAGUUUACAGCCUCUAGUGGGAUUCUACUGUAGUCUGUUAUCAGUCCAUGAUAACUUGUAGUGUAGAGGUGAUAGACAGGGAGGUGGUAAACUAAACAUUAAGGGUUGAGUGUGUGAGUCUACAGCCUCUAGUGGGAUUCUACUGUAGUCUGUUAUCAGUCCAUGAUAACUUGUAGUGUAGAGGUGAUAGACAGGGAGGUGGUAAACUAAACAUUAAGGGUUGAGUGUGUGAGUCUACAGCCUCUAGUGGGAUUCUACUGUAGUCUGUUAUCAGUCCAUGAUAACUUGUAGUGUAGAGGUGAUAGACAGGGAGGUGGUAAACUAAACAUUAAGGGUUGAGUGUGUGAGUCUACAGCCUCUAGUGGGAUUCUACUGUAGUCUGUUAUCAGUCCAUGAUAACUUGUAGUGUAGAGGUGAUAGACAGGGAGGUGGUAAACUAAACAUUAAGGGUUGAGUGUGUGAGUCUACAGCCUCUAGUGGGAUUCUACUGUAGUCUGUUAUCAGUCCAUGAUAACUUGUAGUGUAGAGGUGAUAGACAGGGAGGUGG